UACGUAGGUGGCAAGCGUUGUCCGGAUUUACUGGGCGUAAAGAGCGCGCAGGCGGUCGUUCAAGUCGCGUGUGAAAGCCCCCGGCUCAACUGGGGAGGGUCACGCGAUACUGAUCGACUCGAAGGCAGGAGAGGGUAGUGGAAUUCCCGGUGUAGUGGUGAAAUGCGUAGAUAUCGGGAGGAACACCAGUGGCGAAGGCGGCUCACCGGGCACCACCUGACGCUGAGGCGCGAAAGCGUGGGGAGCGAACAGG
rnacentral:rRNA from 1 species